rnacentral:lncRNA from 1 species
CAGGGAUUGCCUCUCUGGUGUCUAGCCUCUAAAAGUCAUCAUGUUCCUUAGGUUUCUAUUUCCCUUUGCACAAAUUUAGCCUCAGGCAGACUCAAGCACAGCUUUUAGGUUUGUAAAACCUUGACAAGUCCUGGAGCCUUCCACCCUGGUUUGUGUCCUCACUACCUCUUGGCCAGACCUCUGCAACACACCUUUCUCGCACACUGUGGUUAGAUUGAUAUUCCUGGAGUGCAGCUCUGAUCCCGUUGCUCACUUUUCACCAAGCCCUUUCCGUGUUCCACACUGUGGGCUGAAUUACUCACAAACUCAGCAUGGGCAUGCGUGAUGUCCUACAGCCCCUACCUAAAUCUCUAACCCCAAUCCCACUGAAGUGUUUGCCCUCUGUGUUUCAGUAGGAAAUGAAAUAUAUUUCUACUGAAAUAUAAUUGAUUAAAGAGUGUGUCUGGAAAAAACAAAUGUGCUAAUUAUUUUGAAUAAAAUCAGAUUAGCCUAACCACUUAGGGUCACAGAAUAUGUCAUUUGCAUAUUAAAUUACUUAUUGCAACACAGUUCACCCUCUCAUGAGCAUUUAUAUUCUCAAUACUUUAGAAUCACAGGGUUAUGGUAGGCAAGUUAUAUUUUCUUAUUUAAGUGAAAUGUUUGUUCAGAUGCUUUUGUUAAGGCUUCUGUUCUAUACACUUCUUUCUGUGUUCUUUUUUCAAAAAUGGGAAAAGGGUCCAGUGUCCUUAUAUGUAUAUCCUAAGUAAAGCCCUCACACACCUCUGAUUCAAAUAGGAGUUAUUUAAUUAGAGGGAGCAUAUUUUGUUUUCUGGCAACUAAGGAUUAUGUAAUGCCUAUAGAUUAUUCUGUCCUGUCACAGUUUGAUUCAUUUUGAAGUUAUAACUGUGAAUUUAUUACAGCGUAUUGCAGGAGACGUAAUUUGAUGAUCAAAUCUGAUAUCCAAGAUCGUAAAGAAUAUAGGCAUAAAUGAAAUAUAAAUCUGUGAUAUAUUAUUUGAAUCAGAAAUUCCACAUUGCUUUGCUUUCUAUAAAUUCCUUAACGUUCUAGUUCCACUGUUUUUAGUUCAUUACAUUGAGAUGCUACAUUUUCCUUUUCUUAAAUACAUGCAAGAUGAAAUGUUUUACCUCUGAGAUGAAAAAUUUGAAAUUUCUUUAAUGUGACUCCUUACUAACACAAUUGCAGGCAAGCAUUGAACAUUUGCUUUGUUCCAGGCACCAUGUGCUGUGUGCUCUACCUACCUAAUCUCACUUAGUCCACUUAGUGCUAUUUGCAGGUUGAGGCUUAGAAAGAAAAA